rnacentral:lncRNA from 1 species
AUUGUUGUCAUAAAUUGUUGUCAUAAAUAGUAUAAUUAUUGAAUAUACUUAUAUAAAUAGUGUUGCAUUGAUUUUUGACAGGCUGAUAAUUUUAUACAAGCUAAAGACGACCAUUUUUUAAAUAUAAUUUUACUUUAGUGCUCUACCAACAAUCAUAAAU